GCGGGUGUAGUACAGUGGUAGUACAUUAGCUUCCCAAGCUA
rnacentral:tRNA from 1 species